UAGAAGUCAGCCUGGAACCUUCUGUAAGGGAGUCAUCAACCUUUUAUAAGUUUUAAUACUGCAGUGCUUUCUUCAUCUACUUUGCAGUGAUAGCCUGCGCUCGAUGAGGGCAGUUCACGUAACAAAUGAGAAAGGAGUUGAAUCUUACUUACGCCCACAAUCCCUGAACAUGAAUAUGCUUAAAGCUUUCUCAAGCAUGGUGAUCUCAAAAAUCAAAAGGAUUGGGUUAUUUUGAUGAUCAAGAGCAUCUGUAACACAUCUGGCAUGUAGAAGAAAUCGAAAAGAAGAUGCUCACUUUCACCUCACCCUGCCCUAUUUGUCUCAGAUAACAUGUAUCACCGUCUGAUACGCAAUAGUAUAAGCUCUACACACUUGAUGUCUGGAUUCUGUGAUGAAUUCCAGAUGCCUAAAACAAUGCCUCUAAUAUUGUAGAAUGCUCUAAAAAUACAUGGAGAAUGAAUGAA